rnacentral:rRNA from 1 species
UACGGAAGGCAGCAGUGGGGAAUAUUGCACAAUGGGCGAAAGCCUGAUGCAGCUAUGCCGCGUGUAUGAAGAAGGCCUUAGGGUUGUAAAGUACUUUCAUCGGGGAGGAAAAAAACAAAACUAAUAAUUUUAUUUCUUGACGUUACCCGAAAAAGAAGCACCGGCUAACUCCGUGCCAGCAGCCGCGGUAAUACGGAGGGUGCUAGCGUUAAUCAGAAUUACUGGGCGUAAAGAGCACGUAGGUGGUUUUUUUAAGUCAGAUGUGAAAUCCCUGGGCUUAACCUAGGAACUGCAUUUUGAAACUGAAAUACUAGAGUAUCGUAGAGGGAGGUAGAAUUCUAGGUGUAGCGGUGAAAUGCGUAGAUAUCUGGAGGAAUACCUGUGGCGAAAGCGGCCUCCUAAACGAAUACUGACACUGAGGUGCGAAAGCGUUGGGGAGCAAACAGGGAUUAGAUACC